rnacentral:rRNA from 1 species
CCUACGGGAGGCAGCAGUGGGGAAUUUUGCGCAAUGGGGGAAACCCUGACGCAGCAACGCCGCGUGCGGGACGAAGGCCCUCGGGUCGUAAACCUCUUUUGCCGGGGAGCAAGGGCGGGGACGUGUCCCGGCCCGGAGAGUACCCGGAGAAAAAGCAUCGGCUAACUCCGUGCCAGCAGCCGCGGUAAUACGGAGGAUGCGAGCGUUAUCCGGAUUUAUUGGGUUUAAAGGGUGCGUAGGCGGGCUUUUAAGUCAGCGGUAAAAAUUCGGGGCUCAACCCCGUCCGGCCGUUGAAACUGGGGGCC